AACGAACGCUGGCGGCAUGCCUAACACAUGCAAGUCGAACGAGACCUUCGGGUCUAGUGGCGCACGGGUGCGUAACGCGUGGGAACCUGCCCUUAGACUCGGAAUAACUCCCCGAAAGGGGUGCUAAUACCGGAUAAUGUCUUCGGAUCAAAGAUUCAACGUCUUUGGAUGGGCCCGCGUUGGAUUAGCUAGUUGGUAGGGUAAAAGCCUACCAAGGCGACGAUCCAUAGCUGGUCUGAGAGGAUGAUCAGCCACACUGGGACUGAGACACGGCCCAGACUACUACGGGAGGCAGCAGUGGUGAAUAUUGGACAAUGGGCGAAAGGCUGAUCCAGCAAUGCCGCGUGAGUGAUGAAGGCCUUAGGGUUGUAAAGCUCUUUUACCCGGGAUGAUAAUGACAGUACCGGGAGAAUAGGCUCCGGCUAACUCCGUG
rnacentral:rRNA from 1 species